UAUUUACUACCAGUAUAAAAAGUAGUCUUCUACCAAGACCCGAAUGUUUUGAAAGUGGUCUUUUACCAAGACCUGACUGUUUUGAAAGUAGUCUUCUACCAAGACCUGAUUGUUUUGAAAGUAGUCUUCUACCAAGACCUAACUAUUUUGAAAGUAGUCUUCUACCAAGACCUGAAUGUUUUGAAAGUACGCAUCACUUGUAAAUGUGACGGUUUUUACCCUGUUUAACUAUUAUUAUAAAACUAUAAAAGUAAUAAUAUAAUAACUUAUGUUGUAUCCUUUGGUACAAAGAUAUUCUAGUAUAAUCUACCUCGUCGGUUAUGUGAACGUGACACAAAAUAAAGGUAACAAUAUAAUUAUAUAGGUAUUAGUCUACCCCGUCGUUAUGUGAAUGUAUCACAAAAUAAAGGUAAUGAGCUAAUAACCUAAGUAUUAUCCUUUGGUACUAAAAUAAACACGGCGUGGAAACUCGUCGUAAAUGGAUCCAUCGUAGACAUCCGUAGAUGUGCAUUUACCUCUGUUGCUAACAGCCGGGUGUAGGAAUAGUUAGUCCCUUAAGCAUACCUGUAAUGGUAUCAACCGUAGACAUCCGUAGAUGUGCAUUUACCUCUGUAGCUAACAGAGGUAUUAGGAGUGGUUAACCCCUUAUAGUAUCUAUGUAAAAGUAUCCCUGUAAGAGUAUCCAUAUAAGUGUAUCCAUGUAAGAGGAAUCUCUGUAAGAGUAUCCCUUCAUAUAGCAUGUAGUAUAGACUCAUGAAUGAACUGGCUCUGGUGUAAUUCCUUUUAAUAGGAAUAAUUUUUUGUUUCCCCUAAACUAUUCCAAUAAUAGUUUACUUGAAUGUAAUUGAUGAGUGUCCAGGUAGGUUUAUACACCCUUGCUACCCAAGAGUGUCGGAACUGAACUAACUGAUGGAACUUUUAUGUCUAUAUAGGUAUACCUGAUCUAUAUAACUAAUAUUUGGACAACAUUCGGACGAAUAACUGAUACCCUAAGGCCACAUCCCAACGAGAACAGAAAAGAAAUAAAGCGAGCUAGCCGUUCUAAGUCUUUUAAACCUUUCUUAUUUAACUAUAGAUAUAUAGGCAAGCAUUUAACAAUAUAAAAGUAUAAAAGAAGUUUUGAAAAGUUUAAUAAAUAAGAAUUUAUGACUUGAUGUCAGUUUAUAAAACGAUUCGAAAACUGUUGACAAGACAGAUUAAGUGUGAGAAAACCUUUGUUUGAAGCACAACUAUAACAUAUUCAAAAAGGAAACAUACAGUUUGGAAGACAGUUUCUAAAAGUGUUUUAACAUGUAAAAACGUUUGAGAAAGCUAUUUGAAGUACUCUGUUUGGUGAAACGGCUAAAGUGUAGUAAGUCCAAUUGUAUGUUAGUUAUAAAUCACAUGUGAUUGAUUACAUAACCAAAAAGUAUAACAAAGAUUUAUGUCUUUUAUACGGGGAUAACGGUGUGUUUACUUGUAUUCCCCCCUUAAAAGUGUAUAAAAAGCAUUUAUAAAGCAUUUGAAAGUGUAGAUUAUAGGGGUAUGAACUCACUUGAUUGAAGUGGUUGAUUUGAAGUAGUCGAGAGAAGAAUCGAACAGAACUUCGACAGGAAGAGUUGAAAAAGCGGGAAAAUCUCGGGAUUCUCGGGACUCUCGAGAGUGUAGAACUUCCCUCGGGACUUGAGUGUGAAAACCGGGGCUUCGAGAUGGUUUAUCGAGGUAAUUUCACAAAGUAACGGCACUUAGAUGGAAAGAGAUGAGCACCUAACUCGGAAAACCCUUGAAAUCUAUUUAUAGGCCAACUUUUGGGGUCCCACGUCGUGGACAUAAGGUUGCCACGUCGUCGGGUCGAUCCUUAUCCUCUUCCAUGGACGAGACGUCUUCUGCCAAGCCUGAAAACCCCAUCAGUCACUGUGCCACAUCGUGGCAAGCCAGACAGCCUCGAAUUUUGUGUCUCGAAAUUGUAAAAUCUGUAACUUCUGCGUACGAGCUCUGUUUUUGACGUUCUUUAUAUGCACGCGUAGGUGAGAUUAUUCUCUACAACUUUCAUUUAGACUCCAUCGGAAAAUUUUGACUUUAUUUUUAUUUAUUUAUUUUUAACGGGCCGGGACACGAAAAGUCCGUUAGAAAUCGAUAACUUCUUCAUCCGAUGUCCGUUUUCGUCAGACUUUUCGCCGUUGCGCUACUAUUGUUGAGACCUUCGAUUCUCAUUUAGGUUGUUUCGUCCAAAAGCCUCUCGGUCUCUAUUUCAAGUUUUUAGUUGUCUACUGCUAUAUCCGGAUCUUGGAAAAAUCAUAACUUCCUCUUACGAAGUCAGAUUUGGACGUUCUUUUUAUGUAUGUUCACGGUUUUGGGAUAUCUACAACAUUCAUUUAGAUACUUAUGGUGUGACAACCCAAGUUUCUUCCGUUACAUUACCCUGUUACCGUUAACGGAAUAUUCCAUUUUAUAAAAGUUCUGUUAAUUGAAGGUCGCCAAAUAAAUAAAUGAUUAUAUAUUUAUAUUUUUAUGUCGUUAAAGUCGUAAUAAAAUAAAUGAAAUGAUUUCUUUACAUUUCCAUGUCAAUUUGGGAAAAAGUUAAAUUUUAUUACGACCACUAAAUCGGGUGCGACCAAAAGCCCCGUAUAACGGCAGUAUCGGGUAGAUUCCCACUGAGCUUUAACUCCAACCGAUAUAUAAGGGCGAAUAGACUUCAUUCCACCCCUUUUCACUCUCUCUCUCUCUCUCUACUCUCUCUCUAGGCUCGUUUUCGACUCCAAAACCGCGAUUUCCGACUCCUAAAUGUAAGACCGUCAACCCUAACUUCUUCUAUGCGUGCAUUAUUGUCUUUUUAGCCUAAAAAUCACAUGAUUGAGACAUGAAAAAUGAGUUUAUGGCCUAAGAGCCUCCUUAGGCCGUAAACACCCAAAAAGUGGCCAAAAUGACCCAAACUUGUCUCGUUGAGCUUAGGAACCAAUUAAGGAAUUUGUCUAGGAGUGUUUAAUCAUCAAAACACAAGAUUUUAGGGCAUAAAAUAGAGUUUACAGCCCAAGCACAUGCUUAGGCCGUAAACACCUCUUAAACUUGUAAAAAUGCCCCAAAAACACUCCCAAACCACCCAUAGGCUUAAUACAUAAAUUAGGGGCUUGCUAUUUAGGGUUUGGAACAUUUAAACACAAGGAAAUAUGAGGUAACUUGGAGUUUACGGCCCAAGCAAGUUCCUAGGUUGUAAACACCCCUAAACUAUGUCAAAUGAUGGUUUGUGUCCCUCCAAAUGGCCGCAUACUUCAUUUUAAAUUAUUAGGAGUGUAAUAGGGACCUUAAACUUCAAUAAAAGCUAGGUAUAGGAGUUCACGGCCGUGAACUCCCUUAGGGAGUGGUUCAUGGGCCGUAAACUCCCUUAUAGUCCCUUAAAACACUUUAAAUCCCUUCAUACAUAUUAGAUUUGGACCUAGAAUAAUUCCACAAGCAAGAUAAAGCCUUAAAACACCCUAGAAACCUCUCACCAUGAGUUUACGGCCGUAAAAUCAUGGGGAGUUGUCCCUGGGCCGUAAACACCAUAAGGUGAGUUUACUCUUGGAGAGUAAACUCCAUUCCUAAGCCAUUUACAUCCUUAAAUGUUAUCCGGGACACCCCAAACACUUAAUCAAAGUGUUUUACGCUCUAUAGGGUGCGUAUACUUGUUUGAUUAGUAUUAAAUGUACUAAUUAUAUGUGAACAUAUGUUAUCAUAUGUUAAAUAGGUCAUUAAGAGUGUCCAAGUCUUUACUUGACACCGAGCACCCAACCGGCACCUUCGUCGGGAUCCACUUACACCAAGUGAGUUCAUACCCCUGAAUGAACCUUUUAAAUGUUUUUACAUGUUUUAUAGGGGGGAAUACAAGUUAAACAUGCCAGUUAUCAUAUCAAUCACAUGUGAUUGAUAACCCGCAUGUACAAAGAUUUACCACAAUGUAAACUGUUUUACCAAGUAGGACACUAUAAAUGGUUUUCUAAAAAGGUCUUCACUUGUUCAAACCCUUACUUAUACUGCUUUAUCAAAGUUCAUUUUAAACUGAUUUAUGAAAGGUUUCCAAGGAAAUCCUUAAGGUUUUCAAACUUAUUUUAACAAAGAACACCAAAUUAUGAUUUUCUUAAGUGUAAAGGUUUUUCAAGGUUUUCAACAAAGUUCUCUUUCAUAUCGUAUACUCUUACUUAUUAGACACGACUGUUUCAUUUUCACUUAGUUUGAACUCCUACUUGAUAAUGUCUCUACUUCAUGAUACAAUUAUAUUUGGUAACGCAUAUAUAUCACGGUCCAGUUAUUGACACACUGUUCAUUUAUACAUCUCGAUUCGGUUAUUCACACACUGUACGUUUAUACAUACGAUUUGGUUAUUCCACACUGUACGUUUCCACUUGUUACACACUCAGUCAUAGUUAGAUGUAUGUUUGUGCUUGUAUAGGUGCAUAUAAACGAUGAUUGAAGGACUUAGGAAGGCUUGUUCGCCCUAUUUCGUUUUCUUCAUUGAGAUGUGGUCUGGUGGGAUCGGAUGGCCGCUCGAAGGUCGUUUGAUUCAUUAUUUAUAUAUUAUGUAUAUGAGCAUAGACAUAUAGGUUUACUCUAGUCAGUCCAGUUAUGAGUCUCUACCUCUAAUUCAUCACUUACAUUUGAAACCCACUACCUACUAUUAGGGAUGCAUCUUCGGGACACGACCUUCUCCGUCGUCUAGUUGGUAACCAGAGUCUCCUGUAGGGAGAGCGGACAUUGUGUGUAUAGAUCUAUACGGGAUUGACACCCCCGCACCCUGACUGCUAGCUACAGUCCACGGCCCACCAAGCGAAGGGGUGACAAAUGUCAUAUUUUAUAGACGCUUGUAGGGCGUCAGAUACUCCAGUGUCGGUUAGUAUGGUUACGAGUAUCCCAGGUUACCUUAUAAUUCAUGGCCUUAAGGUAACGGUAUUUUACCAGCAAUUUACACUGUAUGCUGGGAAACCCAUUCUCAGAGUCACACUGUUUUAGACCUUGCUAGCCGUAUCUUUCAUUUGAUACUGUCUGCGGUCUGUAUUCUCUGUUUUAGACCUUGCUAGUCGUAUCUUUCAAUUGAUACUGUCUGCGGUCUGUAUUCUCUGUUUUAGACCUUGGUAGACGUAUCAUUCAGUCGAUACUGUCUGGGGUCUGUGUUCACUGUUUUAUACCUUACUAGAUGUACCUUUUAUUUGGUACCGUCUGGGGUCUGUGUCUCUUUCUGUUAGACUGAGCCAGGCUUGUCGUUCAUUCGAUACUCUCCUGGAGUCUAUGAUUCCUUUGCCUUAGUCAGCAGUCCUCACUGCUGAGGCAUAUGUUUUUCCCUGAAUUCUCCUACUUUCUUAAUAAUCAAAUUCUGUAUUUUGAUAAUGAUAGUGAUUAAGGGAAAACUACGUUUUUACCACAUAACUCCGUCCAGUCUUGGUAGAAGACUGCUUUUAUUAAAGAAAAUAUAGGAUUUUCUGGAAAAGACACUAAUGUAAUAGAAUACACUGAAACUACCACUUUUAAUAAAGUUAUUUGAAUAAAAUGCCACUAAAUGCUUAUGAACUCACCAGCAUUUGUAAAAAUGCUGAUACUCGCUUUCAAAUAACUUGUAUUCUCAGGUCAGCAUUAGACAGGUACAUUCUCGGAGCUAUUGAUGAAGAUAGCUUAGUACCAAACUGUACUUAUAUUAUUACCUGUAUUACUUUGUUGUACUGUUAUGUAAACUAUGUAAAACUAAUACUAUUAAUGCAAUGUUUUGUUGUACUUUGAUUACUAUAAUGCAUGUGUUGUGAUACUUGACAUGACGACAUCCACCCCAGGACGUUUCCGCCGUUCCGGUUUUGGGGUGUGACGGCUUGGUAUCAGAGCAUUGUUUAUAGUGAGCUAAGUAUAUCAAUUCAUAAAAUAUAUACAGCCUAUAAAUGCAAAGGGAUAAAACACUCUGACCAAGAAUUAUACUUUAAAAUAUAAUCAUAUUUUACCAAAGUAUAAGAACAUCCAAAACCUAAACACUCGAACACAAGUAUCNAAUAAAAGUCUUCGGAUGUUGAGCAUUACCGUCAAACCUGGGCAGUUAUGUAAUCGUAAGCUGGAAUAAAUGUAACCUGAUCAACUACAUUUAUUCGAGAUGCGAUGAACGUGUGCUUGGGAGUGAUAGUGGUGUUGCAAUAGGUCUGAAACUUACCAAUUAGGAUUGAUAGAGCCAAACAUAAAGUUUAAAAUACUAUAGGAGUAUUUUGGAAUACUAAAAGACUAACAAUAAUCCCAGAAUCAUAAUCAGAAGAUAAGAAUCAAACAAGAAUUAAAAUACCAUAGGGGUAUUUUAGGAUCCAUAACUAACCUUGUGUGAAUAACUAAAAAGAUCUUUAUUGAUAUACCUACAACUACAGAGGGUGUACUCCCAAGGUUAUAUAUAAUAAGGAUCCCAUAGGCUAAGAAUGUGUGGUUUCGCUCUACUUCCUUUUCCUCGUUGGGAUGUGGAUAUAGAGUAGUAUCACAUAUUCGAAGGCCUAUCGGAUCUAAGCUAUAUAUGAUUUGUAUACCCUGUGUAAUCGUAGCAGGACUCGAUAUGGAUCAUCCAGUGAAAUGUUAAUAAUCUCUUAGGAUUCUUUAGACAUUUCCAUUCUCGCACGAACCCUAUAGAAAACCCUAUCCACUUCAGUGCUUAACAGAAGAGUUGAUUCCGACCCCGAGCUAUUGAUGAAGAUAGCUUAGUACCAAACUGUACUUAUAUUAUUACCUGUAUUACUUUGUUGUACUGUUAUGUAAACUAUGUAAAACUAUUACUAUUAAUGCAAUGUUUUGUUGUACUUUGAUUACUAUAAUGCAUGUGUUGUGAUACUUGACAUGACGUCAUCCACCCCAGGACGUUUCCGCCGUUCCGGUUUUGGGGUGUGACAUAUGGCUAAAAACUAUUGUAUUGAAACUUCAUGUUUUUCGUUUAAUCGGUGUUGCCGGUUUUGUCGGGAAUUUUAGAAUGAUUAUAACUUCUUCGUUAUAACUCGGAUUUUUCUGUUCUUUAUAUGUAUGAAAACCUUGUUACGCGAAUGAACAAGAUAUUGAGCAAUUGUCCAUACGUAAAAUCAUAAUUAUUGAUACGGGCCUUUUCCACAUAACAGGGGAAUCUUUUGUUACAAUAGAAGCAGAAGUGAUGUGGAUUAUUCAAGAAUCGAAGUUGAUUUGCUUUAUAAAAAGAAGAUCUCAAUGAACUUCUAUGAAAUGAUUUCACGGGAUUCAGCCAAUUGUAUUGAUCGUGGAAUAUCAUUGAGAAAUAGGAAUCCAUGUUAUCAAAGGAUUUCCUGCGAUUAUUUCUAGUAUGGAAUUAGUCAAUCACCGGAGAAGCAAAUCUUAAUCGAACCUAUAUUUGCUCAAUGGAUACAAUCUGCUCAUGGUAAAACUUCAUAUGGGUUCGAUAUACUUUUAUCUUCAAUGAAUGGCCCGGCAUUCAAUGCGGGUCGAAGCAUAUGAUUGUCGGGUUGGUUAUCUUGCAUCUAUAGUAUUUUUGCCCUGGUGGAUUCCUCUCUCAUUUCAAAAAAGUAUGGAAUCGUAGGUUACUAAUUGGUGGAAUACUAGGCAAUCCAAACCUUUUUUGAAUGAUAUUGAAGAAAAGAGUAUUCUAGAAAAAUUCAUAGAAUUAGAGGAACUCCUCUUCUUAGAGGAAAUGAUUAAGGAAUACUCGGAGACACAUCUACAAAACCUUCAUAUAGGAAUUCACAAAGAAACAAUCCAAUUAAUCAAGAUAGACAACGAGGGUCGUAUUCAUACGAUUUUGCACUUCUCGACAAAUAUAAUAUGUUUCAUUAUUCUAAGUGGUUUUUCUCUUUUGGGUAAUAAAGAACUUGUUAUUCUUAACUCUUGGGUAACGGCAUUCUUCCUAAAUAAUACACACAUGUAACAAAUAAGAAAAUAUUAAGGAUACCAGCUAUAGACAUAGAAUUUGCCAAUUCUAACACAAAGGACUUAUUAGAUCGAAUGUACUUACGAAUAGAUCGAUUUUUGCGUAUCCAAACUACUAACAAUCCAAUUGAUUUCAUCAAUAUAAUGUGACCAAUUAUCCAACCAACAAAACUACUUGUUACAAAAAUAAUCUUGUUGUUGCAUUGAAACAUAAAAAUGUUGACUAAUCUCGCUAACAUUGAACUUGGUAAAAUGAAAUCAUUGAAUAAUUGAAAAAUGAGAUUAUUCAUGAAUACACAUUGAAUGUUGAGAUUACGCAUUGAAUUUUUGUUAGUAGAUCCAUAAUCAAAGAAGUGUUUGUGAGUAUUGCAGAAGAAAUGAAACAAAAGAUACGGUAGAGCUAGGACAAUUAUUCCUACCACUUGAUUUAACCCAAAUAAGAUUUUAGGAAAGUUAUAUUUUGACCUAAAUCUGACUGGUUUUACAUUACAUUGUCUCUAAAUAUCGGGUUGUCACAUCAUCCCCCCAUUAGAGAGAAUUUCGUCCCGAAAUUAGAGUUUAAGCAGAAUUGAUAAUCAUGCUACGGAUAGAAGUUUUAUUUGCUUCUCGUGUUCUUAAGUGAACUCAGUUCCUCGCUUGGCAUUCCAGCGAAUCUUUCACUAUCGGGAUACGGCUUUGCUUCUUUCGUUUGACUUUACUGGUGUGAUAACUCUUCUUGGAAGAAUGUAUGUUGAAUGUUUUUGUGGCCUGUGAAAAUAGUACACCUUGUACCAUACAAGUAGUGUCUCCAGAUCUUCAGAGCAAUUACCGCUGCUCCUGACUCAAGAUCCUGUGUUGUAUAGUUAACUUCCUGUGUCCUAAGCUGCCUUGAGGUAUAGGUAGUGACCUUUCCUCUUGCUUAAGAACACAACCAAUUCAUACUGAUUAUGACGUCAAAACCUUAUGGUCGAUUAGAUGUCGUGAAGAUCUAAAAGAAAGUAUGACUACUCAUGAAUUAGGGAAAAGGUUAGGUAUUUCUAAGUUUAUUCUCACGGAAGCACGAUCACUCGCAGUCUUGGGCAGUCUCCAUCCUGAAUUUCAUAGUAGAACUCAUACCUGGUUCAUCAAUCACAGUAUCAGGUAUACGAGUCGUAUAUAAUUAAGACUGAAAAGGUGGGUCUUUGAAUUGAACUUGAUGUACUGCAUGAGUGGUACUUUGGGGAGGUUUGCUGAGGUUUCUUUAGAAAGGAUAAGAAACAUGAGGUACUCUACGCAUGAGUACUUCGGAGUUCUAAAGUGAUAGUUUCGUUAGAAAGAUGAUUUUGGAGAAAGAGAUUUACGCAUGAAACUGGUAUUGUGAGGAUCAAAUAGACUCUGAUCGUAUGAUGAAAUCGAAAUCACUUGGAAAUAAGGAACUAGAUUUGAUCAUAACGGUGUUACAGACAAAACACAACAAUGCAACUUUUAACAGAGUUACCGUAAUAUAGGUUUACUAUAAGACUAAUGUUGCGAACUAGGUAUACUACGAAAGACAAGUAUACGCAGCAUGAGGGUCCCUUAACUGAUGGGUCCUUACAAAAGAUAAGAUUCGAGUUGCAUUAGUUUUAAACAGUUUACGAGUCUGUUACAACGAACGCCUUAGAUACUUUAACGAGGUUCCGGAGUAGUUUCUCCUACGGCAGUGAUCCUUAGUAUCUUCCCGUCAACGCGGGAGUUCUUUGUUAUUGGACAGUCCUUUUUGAGGUGUCCUAUCUCGCUGCAUUGGUGACAUGCUUGGUUCGUACUAGUAUUGGUGGUAAGUGUGAGGUGUUUAGUCAGGGUUAUGUGGACACGGGUGCCCUCCUCGUUCCUCCACUUUGAAAAUUGCCUUUUAAAGAGUCCGGCUUUACCACCACCUUUGUGUGUAAGGUUGGUACCGAUGCCAGGGACUUGAGAAAUGCGUCGUGUCGGUGCUGAAGGGGUAGGAGUUGCCACUUGCUGCUAUUGCAUGGCAAACCUUUGGAAUCGUUGGUGCUCCUUUCGAGCUCGGCGAUUUCGUUUCCUCCUCUUGGUUUUACAACUUUGCACGUCCGUGACUGUUGCCAUUUGUUGGCUUUUUGGAUCUAUACAACGAUCGAAAUUUUCAAUUCCUUUGCCAUUCGUGAUUGCGUUUUUAGCAUUGAGGUUUACAAGGACAGCCGUCACGGCAGCUGUUACCGCGGCUUGGAAUGUGGCGGCGUCGAUAUGAAGGAUAGGGGCUUCGUUGUUCGGCUGUCUACUUCUGGAUGACGACAUGAUUCUGUAACACGAAAGGAAAGGAGUUCGUGAGCUAUUAUGGUUGAACAUAGAUGUAUCUUGAUCGUUCAUGUAAAGGGUAGAAGUAUGUUCUCGAGAGUUUGACCUACAUCCCUAAGAUGCAGUCCUAGUACAGAGCAAAAGUAAGUUCAUAGAAUGGUCUCAAGACGUUUGACGUUCAAACCAGGGUAUUAUUUGUUGGUGGAUAACAUGAUCCAACCUUUGCAAGAUACCUGGAAAUGAUUCCACAGUUAAAUUACCAUAGUCCAAUAACUUGACUAGAUGGGGUUUCAGAUAGACCCCAAUGAAAGCAUGAUGAAAGCAUUUGAACAAAGAUUGACACGGAAGUUAGCCGACUGUCGAUAUCAUUGAUGUUUAAGAUGUAAUAGGUUUGGGGAAAUUGACCUUGUUGUAGGUCUUACAUCAUAUUCGGAGUAGAAAAGUCUUUGACAACAUAAAGACUUAACUAAAAGUACUUACAGUACAAAGUAGUCACAUAGAAAGUACUACACAGAACAUAGACAGGAACACGGUUCUUUAAAACAAGGAAAGAAGGAAGUAAGGUAUCUCCUGAUGGCGACGAUAACCCCUAUGGUGAACCCUUAGUUCGGCUAGUUGACGUUCCAUAUCAAGCAGGUCUCUUUUGUACACCCUCUGGCGUACUUGGAGCUCUAUGACUUCGGCUCGAGUUUCAGCUAGUGCUUGCAGUAGGGUCUCUUGGUUUCUCUCAGAUGUAUCACUUGUGUGAUCAAGGCGAUUGGUGCGAAUGGUAUGCAUUCUUGCAUUGGCNUCUUCGAUACGAUGGAGAGUCGUCUUGCCCUGAAUUUUGUUUCGGGCAACUCUACGGAUCAGGAUUGGUAGAACUCUGUCUGCUGAGCUCCCUUUGCUUGAGUGGUAGAAGCUUCGGUCUCCUUUAAACGGCAUAGUUUGAUCUUGCUCUUCGCUCCAUGUUUCCAAGCAUUCUACCCAAGGAGGCGUCGGGCCAUGAAAAGCGGGACGAGGGUUAGGAUUUGGAACAAAAGCCAUCGGGGGUAGGUUCUCCACUUCAGGUUCGGAGGCAGAAUCAUCAUGUAACACCCGAAAUCAGAAAGGUCAAGAAAGGAAAGGAAAAACCCUAAGUUAAAGAGGGUUGACUCGUCGAGUCCAGGGAGGAACUCGGCGAGUCGGAGCGGGAUCCGGGUGUAAAGUAAGUGACCGACUCGGCGAGUCGGCAAGUGGACUCGGCGAGUCUGGUCUGGGUUGGGAAACCCUAGUUUCGGGACUUGGUACCCUAUUUAAGCAUCUUAUUCUCUUCCCUAGGGCUCAUUUGCGGCCCCUUUAGUCCAGAACCAGAAACCCUAAGCCUCCAUUGUUGCUCAUUCAAGCUUUCUUGCCAUUUUGGGUGAUUUGAAGGAAGAAGGAAGAAGGCACCCAUUGGGGAUUCAAGGAUUGGCAGUAGAUCCAGAGUUUGUGAGGUCUUCCAGAACAUUUGAAGGUAAUGAGUCGCUACCUUCCCUCUUUUGCAUAUAGAUCAACCUUUAUCAUGGGAUUUGGGGCUUUUAGGGCAAGUUUACGAACCAUUUCAAGUUAGAAGCCCAGAUCUGAAGUUGCUACUUCAUAUCUAAGUGUAUCUUGGCCUAGAGAAUCAUAAAGCAUCAGUCUUUGGGUUGAUUGUUAAGCCCCUUUGUCUUAAACCCUAGUUUAUAGUGUUUUGAGCCUUGAUCUCCUUAGCUACAUGUAAAGUUUGCCACUUUAUUUAAGGAAUAGACUUUAGAAGAGUGGAUCUACAGUUUGGAGUCCAUGCAUGACUCAAAAGUCCUCUGCAUGUAUGUAGAUCUGAAUGGACUCGGCGAGUCCUUCGAGUGGACUCGGAGAGUAGCAUGAAGAUGAGGAGGAUCUCAACGAGUGGUAUGAACAACUCGUCGAGUCGGAUGAAGUUGGGCAUGAACUCGGCGAGUUGGAAGAACAACUUGACGAGUUGGUUGAAGAUUGCCUUGGGCUCAGCGAGUCUAUUCGUGGACUCGGCAGUCAGGUUGUGAAACCCCAAACCCUUCAAGUUGAGACUCGAAUCAGUGAGUCGGGUGGAGACUCAGCGAGUUGGACAGGACAGGACUCGGAAAUCGUUGGACUCGGCGAGUCAUGGACUGACUCGGCGAGUCGAGUCGCGAAUAGAAGGACCCUGAGCAUAUGAACUCGGCGAGUCAGUAGGUGGACUCGGCGAGUAGGGUUGACCUGGAAGGUUGACUUUGACCAGGAUUUUGACCUUGACCAGAGUUGACUUAGUUGACUUUUAGAGGACUGUCAGACUAAGUGUCAUAUUGAUAUUGGUAGCUCGGAGAGCUGGAGGAGCAGCGGCUCAGGGGAUUGUCGAUCAGCAGCCAGAGGAUUAUCGGCGGAGCUCAGCAGUUCAGGUGAGUUUCCUUCCAGUAGGAACGGGUCUAAGGCCACAAUGCCGGCCCGUUUAGCUAGCAGUAGUUUCCGGAUUUUGAUCCGAUGCAGUAGUUAGUAUGUUUGAUGCCUUCGUGGCUCAGACAGGAUUUAUGUGUUAUGUGUUCCGGGCUACGGCUCGAUGCAGUAUGCAGUAUAUGUGUGUUCAUGCUAGUUGAUAUGUUUAUGUUAUGUGAUGUUCAGUUAGUUCCGGACUUUGGUCCGAUGCAGGGGGCAAAGGCCCCAGUUAGUCCGGACUUCGGUCAAAUGCAGGGGACAAGGUCCCAGUCAGUUAGUCCGGACUUCGGUCUGAUGCAGGGGACAAGGUCCCAGUCAGUUUCCAGACUUCGGUCCGAUGCAGGGGCAAGGACCCAGUUAGUCCGGACUGCGGUUCGAUGCAGGGGGAAAGGUCCCAGUUAGUCCGGACUUUGGUCCGAUGCAGGGGACAAAGUCCCAGUCAGUUUCCGGACUUCGGUCCAAUGCAGGGGGCAAGGCCCCGUUAGUCUGGACCUCGGUCCGAUGCAGUGGGCAAGGCCCAGUAUGUGCUUUAUAUGUUAUUGUAUGGUAUGUGGUAGAUUGGGGGAGCUUACUAAGCUUCGUGCUUACGGUUUUCAGUUUUGGUUUCAGGUACUCAGUUUUCAAAAGAGGAGCUCGGGAAGAUUGCAGUGCACACACCAUAGUCAGUUAGCCUGGGAAUGCUUGACUCUGAUAACGAGAUUAUGUUUUGAAUUUAUACUCGAAAAAUUAUGUUAUGACUUAUGAUACAGUUUUAUAAAUAUGGUUUUAGUAAUGUUUUAAAAGAAAUUUUUAGUCGUGAUUUUUGGGUUGUUACACAUCAGCAAAGCUUUCAGCUUGGUGACCAUCCAUAAGGAUUUGGUGAUCAACCACUGGCUCCUCUCUGACCCAUCCAACAUUGCCGUAGUUAGGGUAGUACGGGUUGCCGUGGGGAUGGAAUCCAGCCAUGAUAUCUACGCGAGAAAAUGGAUAUUAAGAACUAACUAAAUAGACGAACUAACUAAGAUAAUUAUAAGAUGAUCUUUAUCAGUUGCUUCAAUACUUGUUUAGUGCAUACCAGUUAUAUGUAUUUAGGAUAGGAUAGACCUUCGAAUAAGUGACCCUAACCCUAAGCCCCCAACCGAACGAGGACAGGACAUAAAGCAAAGAUUCACAGAUUCUACGUCUAUGACAUCCUAGUACAUAUAACCUUAGUGUAUCUACAAAACAACUAUUGACAUACUGAUAAAAAUCUAUUUAGUUCUCAGAUAAGCAAUUCCAGUAGCACUAAAUACCCCUAUGGUAUUUCAUUGUGGUCGUGUUGGUAAGUUUUUAGACUUGUUGCCACAUCACAACCAUUCUUGGGCAUAUGCUAAUCACUCCUUGGACCAGCAUAGUUGAUCAGGCUAUGCCAUUCCCAGGACUGACCAUACAUCCCCAAGCUUACUUGUGAUAUUCAACAAUCGUAAUACUUUUAUUCUUGUCAUUGUGACACUGAUUUUAGUAUUAAUGCAGGCACAUAUACUUAAUUAAAUAUUUUAUUAUUUAAAAGUAUAAACUCUUGGUCAGAGUAUUUUAAUCCCAUUGUAUUAAUAGUUACUAUAUCUUUUAUGGGUUGAUAUACUCAAUUCACUAUAAACAAUGCUCUGAUACCAAUCUGUCACACCCCAAAACCAAGAAUGGCGGAAACGUUCUGGGGUGGAGGACGUCAUGUAUGUAUCACAACAAUGUAAAGUAGUAAACAAGCAACAACAUCAUCCAUUGCAUUAAUAGAAUAAUUCUGCUUACAAGUGUGUUCUUUCAUAGUAUAAAACAACAUAAUGAAUACUCAAAAUAAAAGACGAGUCUUGACUGCUCCGUCUUCUCUAAACCUUGCAUCGGUACCUGUCUAUUUGUAACCUGAGAAUACAAGUUAUUUUGAAAGAGGGUAUCAGCAAUAAAGCUGGUGAAUUCAUAAGUAUUUUAAUGUUAUUGCUUUGAAAAGUUGUUAUGAAAGACUGGUGAAUGUUUGAUGAAACAUUUAGUAUAAGUAUGAAAACCCUAGAAAAUCCCAUAUUUCCUACUAGUAUAAAAAGUAGUCUUCUACCAAGACCCGAAUGUUUUGAAAGUAGUCUUUUACCAAGACCUGACUGUUUUGAAAGUAGUCUUCUACCAAGACCUGAAUGUUUUGAAAGUACGCAUCACUUGUAAAUGUGACGGUUUUUCCCCUGUUUAACUAUUAUUAUAAAACUAUAAAAGUAAUAAUAUAAUAACUUAUGUUGUAUCCUUUGGUACUAAGAUAUUCUAGUAUAAUCUACCUCGUCGGUUAUGUGAACGUGACACAAAAUAAAGGUAACAAUAUAAUUAUAUAGGUAUUAUUCUACCCCGUCGUUAUGUGAAUGUAUCACAAAAUAAAGGUAAUGAGCUAAUAACUUAAGUAUUAUCCUUUGGUACUAAAAUAAACACGGCGUGGAAACUCGUCGUAAAUGGAUCCACCGUAGACAUCCGUAGAUGUGCAUUUACCUCUGUUGCUAACAACCGGGUGUAGGAAUAGUUAGUCCCUUAAGUAUACCUGUUAUGGUAUCAACUGUAGACAUCCGUAGAUGUGCAUUUACC
rnacentral:lncRNA from 1 species